UACGGAGGGUGCGAGCGUUAAUCGGAAUUACUGGGCGUAAAGGGUGCGUAGGUUGUUAAUUAAGUCGAAUGUGAAAGCCCCCGGCUCAACUGGGGAGGGUCAUUCGAUACUGAUCGACUUGAAGGCAGGAGAGGGUAGUGGAAUUCCCGGUGUAGUGGUGAAAUGCGUAGAUAUCAGGAGGAACACCGGUGGCGAAGGCGGGUCUCUGGGCAACAACUGACGCUGAGGAGCGAAAGCGUGGGGAGCGAACAGG
rnacentral:rRNA from 1 species